rnacentral:rRNA from 1 species
AUUGAACGCUGGCGGCAGGCCUAACACAUGCAAGUCGAACGCGUGGCGGACGGGUGCGUAAUGUCUGGGAAACUGCCCGAUGGAGGGGGAUAACUACUGGAAACGGUAGCUAAUACCGCAUACCCUCGGAUGUGCCCAGAUGGGAUUAGCUAGUUGGUGGGGUAACGGCUCACCAGGGCGACGCUCCGUAGCGGGUUUGAGAGGAAGACCAGCCACACUGGGACGGAGACACGGCCCAGACUCCUACGUGAGGCAGCAGUGGGGAAGUUGGGACAAGGGGGGAAACCCUGAGCCAGCCAUCCCGCGUGGGCGAUGAAGGCCUUCGGGUUGUAAAGCACUUGUGGCAGGAAAGCGGUACCUGCAGAAUAAGCACCGGCUAACUACGUGCCAGCAGCCGCGGUAAUAC